AGUGAACGCUGGCGGUAGGCCUAACACAUGCAAGUCGAACGGCAGCACAGUAAGAGCUUGCUCUUACGGGUGGCGAGUGGCGGACGGGUGAGGAAUACAUCGGAAUCUACUUUUUCGUGGGGGAUAACGUAGGGAAACUUACGCUAAUACCGCAUACGACCUACGGGUGAAAGCAGGGGAUCUUCGGACCUUGCGCGAUUGAAUGAGCCGAUGUCGGAUUAGCUAGUUGGCGGGGUAAAGGCCCACCAAGGCGACGAUACGUAGCUGGUCUGAGAGGGUGAUCAGCCACACUGGAACUGAGACACGGUCCAGACUCCUACGGGAGGCAGCAGUGGGGAAUAUUGGACAAUGGGCGCAAGCCUGAUCCAGCCAUACCGCGUGGGUGAAGAAGGCCUUCGGGUUGUAAAGCCCUUUUGUUGGGAAAGAAAAGCAGCAGGUUAAUACCCCGCUGUUCUGACGGUACCCAAAGAAUAAGCACCGGCUAACUUCGUG
rnacentral:rRNA from 1 species